GGGUUUCACUGUUGUUUUGUGGGUGAUUGUUUCCGUGUCUGUUCGCCACACGGUAUUGUUUCGGUUUUAUUCACGGUUAUUGGUUUGUAUUCAUUGAGUGUUCAGUUGAUGUUUUUAAAUUAACAACCUUGCCACAUCUUGGUCCGAUCCUUGCUACACCUCCUCUUCAGAUGAAGAGGAGAAAAACCCUUACAGUGGGUGAAUACUAAGUCUUUCUCCAGCUGAUGCUGUCAUCAGUGUCCAUUGGCACUCCUCUCCAGAGGCCGGCAGCUCUGGUGUAGCCCCUCUUCGGCUUCCUCCUAUCCUCCUUGCGGCUCUCCCGGAACGUCCAGAACUCGCCCAUGCUGAACAGGCAGCAAUCCAAUCCCAUUUAGAUGGGGUCCAUUAGGCCUCCAUCAGCUCCACAAUGCCCCGGGGGAUGUGAAGAACAUCCAGAACUCCCUGGCAGAAGUCAGCAAUGACUGGAGGCAAAGCAUCAACACCAUUGAAAACCUGAAGGCCGUAAAAUAUGCUGGGUUGCAUCCUGCAACACAGUCAGAUUGCCUCAGCCGUGGAGAACCUGAAGAAUAUGUAUUUAGGUAGACUACGGUAGUGAAUGUUGCAACCGAGGAUAGACGAUUUGUAUGCGCUACUUGGUUCAGCAGUCGGCAGUGCCAUGCUCUGAGCUUGUGUGGCCUACCACUUUGCAGCUGAGCCAUUGUUGCUCUUAGACGUUUCCACUUCGCAAUAAAAUCACUUACAUUUGACCGGGGCAGCUUUAGCAGGGCAGACAUUUUACGAACUGACUGUUGGAAAGGUGGCAUCUUAUGAUGGUGCCACGUUGAAAGUCACUGUAAGGCCAUUCUACUGCCAAUGUUUGCUAUGGAGAUUGCACGGCUGUGUGCUCGAUGUUAUACACCUGUCAGCAACAGGUGUGGCAGAAAUAGCCCUAAUUUGAAGGGGUGUCCACAUACUUUUGUAUAUAUAUUAAAAUACAAAAACACAUGGUCAUGGUAAGCACAAAUAAAGCACAAAUAAAUAACUCCACAAAUCACCAAGAAAACAGUUACAUUCCUCCACAAAUAAUUUACCAAUCAAUACUUUAAAGUGCCCGAGCGGCACCAGAACAUCAAGAUGAAAUGAAUUUAGUCCAAAUUGAUAUGGUGCAUUCAAAUUGAAAGAAGACUUACCUAGCUUGGUGGAGACCCUAGGAACCUCAAGAGUUAACCAAUCCUGUGAACGGGUUAGGCCACUCAGGUGUCUAUACUUCAACAGCAAAGUUAGAUAAGACGGAAGUUUAUGAAGUAGGGCAUUGAAAACAAUAGGGGAGUAAUGUAAAUAUCUAUGGGUCUUUAGUGAAGUCCAGACAACCUUUUCAUACAGGAUGCAGUGAUUAUCAAAACUGUCAACUGUCACAAAAUGAUGGGCUCUAUGGUAGAUGGCAUCUGAAGUGUUAAGAGUAGUAGCAGCUGCACUUUGAUAAAUAAUAUCACCAUUAUAAGGAACAGAUAAAAGGUUGACUGAAAACCUGCUUCCUACUGCUUAGAGAAAGCCACAAUCUGUUUCUAUAGAAAAAGCCAACUUAAAAUCUUAUCUUCUUAACCAACUCAACUAUAUAUUUUUUAAACAUAUUAUCCAUAUAUAUACAAA